CCCUUAGAUGUCCGGGGCUGCACGCGCGCUACACUGAAGGAAUCAGCGUGCUAAAACCAUUGUCGAAAGGCAUUGGUAAACCCAUUAAAAUCCUACGUGAUUGGGAUCGGGAAUUGCAAUUAUUUCCCUUGAACGAGGAAUUCCCAGUAAGAGUGGGUCAUAAGCUCGCGUUGAUUACGUCCCUGCCCUUUGUACACACCGCCCGUCGCUGCCCGGGACUGAGCCGUUUCGAGAAAAGCGGGGACUGCUGCUGUCGGGGCUUUCGGGCCUUGGCUUCGGUGGAAACCGCUUUAAUCGCAGUGGCUUGAACCGGGCAAAAGUCGUAACA
rnacentral:rRNA from 1 species